rnacentral:lncRNA from 1 species
GCACCCCUCUAAGUCCCUAAAGUCGGGUCUCUACUAAUAAAGUGAAACUGACGUGACAAUCGAAUAAGAAAGUCAAUGGAUACUCACAUCAAUCAUGCAUAUAUGAGAAUCAGAAUAUGUAUAGUGAAUGAUCAGAAUGAGUGAAUGCAUACCUGGGCAGCAAACAGCAACGCGCUAUCAAGAAACGGGAUUAGUGCACAAUUAAUGAAUACAAAACAUAGCUCAUACAUAUCGGAGUGCAAAGCGAAGCUCAAACAAAAUACAGUAAGCACGAAAAUUGACAGUCAAAAGGGGUCAAACAUAGGGCCCCCAACAAAGCCCGAUUUAUUGUUCAUGAGCUAAUCCCACAAAUCCCCUGUUUUGGAAUUAUGAAGGAAUCACUGUUGUUUAUGUAAAAUCAAGAAGAUCAGAAGAUUAUUUAGGAACUGAAAUGUGAUUAAGAACUAUUCGAGUGAAAACUGAAUUAUUGGAGCUUAUUUGAAAAUUGAAGUAUUUGGAAUUAAAUUUUGAAGAUUAGAGCUCUGGUGAUUAAAUCGAAAUUUUUAAAGAAAAUGAGAAACGGACUUUAGGAAAUUGAACUGCGAGACCAUAGACUUUUGAAAGUUGAAUUUAUAAUAAUGAUAGUAAUGAGGUCUUGAGAGGUUGAAUUAAUAAUAAUAAUAAUUAUAAGAUUUCGAAAGUUGAAUUUAUAAUAAUGAUAGUAAUGAGGUCUUGAGAGGUUGAAUUAAUAAUAAUAAUAAUUAUAAGAUUUCGAAAGUCUGAAUUGACGAUAAUAAUAACAAUAAUAAGAUUUUGAAGGUGUGAAUUAAUAAUAAUAAUAAUAAUAAGAUUUUGAGAAUUUGGAUUAAUGAUAAUAAUAAUAAUAAUAAAUAGAUUUUGAAAGUUGAGUUAACAAUAAUGAUAAUAAGAGAGUUUGGAUUAAUGAUGAUAAUAAUAAUAAUAAAUAGAUGUUGAAAGUGCGAAUUAAUGAUAACGAUAAUGAUGAGAUUUUGAAAGUUGGGAUUAAUGAUAAUAAUAAAUAAUAAUAAAUGGAUGUUGAAAAUGUGAAUUAAUGAUAAUGAUAAUGAUGAGAUUUUGGAGGUUUGGAUUAGUGAUAAUAAUAAGUUAUAAUAAAUAGAUUUUGAAAGUUGAGUUAAUAAUAAUAUUAAUAAUGAGAUUUUUGGAAGUUUGGGUUGAUGAUGAUAAUAAUAAUAAUAAAUAGACUUUGAAAGUUGGGUUUAUAAUAAUAAUAAUGAGGGUUUUGAAAGUUUGGAUUAAUGAUAGUAAUAAUAGUACUAAAUAGAUUUUGAAAGUUGAAGUAAUAAUAAUAAUAAUAAUGAGAUUUUUGAAAGUUUGGAUUAAUGAUGAUAAUAAUAAUAAUAAUAAAUAGAUGUUGAAAGUGUGAAAUAAUAAUGAUGAUAAUAAUGAGAUUUUGAAAGUUGGGAUUAAUGAUGAUAAUAAUAAUAGUAAUAAAUAGAUUUUGAAAUUUGUGAAAUAAUAAUGAUGAUAAUAAUGAGAUUUUGAAAGUUGGGUUAAUAAUAAUAAUAGUAAUGAAAUUUGUGAAUGUUGAGUUAGUAAUAAUAAUAGUAGGAUUUUGAAAGUUUGGAUUAAUGAUAAUAAUAAUAAGAAUAAAUAGAUUUUGAAAGUUGAGGUAAUAAUAAUAGUAAUAAGAUUUUGAGAGUUGAAUUAAUAAUAAUCAUAGUGAUAAUAAUAAUAAUAAUGACAAGAACAAUGAUAAUAAUAAUAAUAAUAAUAAUGACAAUAAUAAUAAUAAUAAUAAUAAUAAUAACAAUAAUAAUAACCAUAAUAAUAAUAAUAAUAACAAUGAUAACAAUAAUUAAUAAUAAUAAUAAUAAUAAAUGAUAACAUGCAUCCAUCAAACCCAAAGCCCAUAAGCAUGGAUCCACUAACAAGCCUCAUCUUCAACAAGCCCAGUCCAUAAGCCUAAACCCAUAAGCCUAAGCCCACAAGCCUAAGCCUAAGCCUCCAAAGCCCAUCAGCAAAGCUCAAGCCCAAAUCAAUGAGUAAGCCCAAGCCCUUUAUCACAUGCUCUUCUUCCUCAUCUCCGGAGACAGUGACGGAGAAAAAUGGAGGUGAGAGAGACAUCGUCGGAGGUCCUCGGAGUUGGUCCAAGCUGCCAUCCUCCCGCGCCACCUCGGACAUGCCCAACUGCAGCAGCCUAGUGUCGGUGUGGAGCCUGCUGCUGCAGCCUUCAUAGGAGCGUGGAGCUUCGUCGGCCGGAAUCUGGUCGUUGAGGAAGAGCUCAUGUGCUGACAGCAUCCUCGACGUCGUCGUCGCGGAGCUCCCAUAGUAGGCGAGCCAUGUGGAAGAUUCGAACCCGGCGCCGGUGGACGAUGAGGCUACGGUUAAAGUGGACGGCGUCGGCAUUACGCAAGGUGCGAAGUGCAUGGGGCUCACCGGAGUGCUGUAGAAGAAAAACACCGCUUCCGGAGCCGCGUCCUAGGCUGGAGGGAGCAUUGACGUGGGGGGUGGAGCUAGAGAGAGAAAAUGUGGUGGAAAUGAUAAUGGGUGAGUGUGGCGAGGGUUGACGGAGUUGGGGAUGUGCAUGAGAGAUGAUGGGCAUGAAGAGAUCCAAAAAAAAAAAAAAAAGAUGGGUAUGGUGAUCUCGGAUGUGAGUGGUUAAAUGGGGGUUUGUGAACAAAGCAUGAAUCAAUAAUGUCAAAGCACACUUAUAACUCAAACCUCAUCCAACAAUACAUCAACUACUAGCUAUCCAUAUCUGGAUCAAAGGGAAAAUGACCAGAAAAUAACUCAAGAAAGAAAGAAAAAAAUGGGACAAUCAGAUGCUAAGUAGGAGCAAGGAGUCAUCAAUGGCAUACCUGGGGACGCUCCCUUCUUCUUCAAGCUUCACUUUCCAAGAUCCCUCGAACCAGCCCGCUCUCCCCCUCCUCCUUCCUGUUGCCCUGGUCCCGCUUGCCUUUUCUUCUUUCCCCCGUUCUUUUUUUUCUCUUCGUGUCUUCUUCAGCAAGCCCGCCGUAUCCCGUCCCAUCUGCAGCCCAAAAGCUCUGCCUUCUUCCUGCUUUUCUUCCAACCGUCCUCGGGUGGAUAAAGAAAGUAGAAAAGAAGAAGAAAAAAAAAAGAAAAUGCAUGAAAAUAAAAAAAACCUGCCCCCAGUUGAGGGGGUCUACAGUAAUCCUUUCAUAGCUUUUAACUAUAACUUUGUUGAAAAUCUUACUCCUUCCUCCUUGUCUUCCUCUUAUAAUUUCUAAGUUUCAACUUUUUUUUUUUUCUUUUUAAUAAUAAUAUUGGUUUUAUGUUUUAAUGAAAUAGGUUGCAAAUUUGAAGAAAACAUAUUCUAAUGUAUUUAUUGAUUAUAGCUCUUUCUUCAAAAGGGUUAUCGUUAUUUACAUUCUCAAACUAAUCAAAUUUACAUCUCUAGAUAUGUAAUCAUUGAUGAGUUUGAGUUUUCCUUUACUAACAAAACUUCUACCAUAUCUUUCUUAUAGGAACAAAGUCAAAUGACCAUAUUUUGAGAUUUCGAUCAGCAGUCACAACCAUUCAAUCCAAACACCAACUCAACCCACAACUUCACUCCCACCAAACAACCUUUCAAACCAUCGUAAUAGUGUAGAUCUUCUAUUUUGUCUUUUUAACACAUCUCAUCUAAAUUUGUCUUUCUUACAUACUUUAACACCUUAUUAUGCACUUAUGGUCAUUUUUCUAAGCUGUUUUUUUUAAAUUAUCUUUUAUUCUUUGUGAUUAUGUUGAUUACUAAUUAUUUUAUUUUAUUUUAUUUUAUGCAAGAGUCAUUCUAAAGGGAUUAAAUGCAUUCCAAUAUUGAUUUUAAUGAUUUUUAAAUCUUAAUUCAGGACUUUAUUUUUUAUUGAUGUAUAACAUAUUUAGGUUUGUUUAAAAUUUUCAAACUUUAAUUUUAUAAAAUAGAUUCAAGUUUUGAAUUAAUUAAUAAUUGAUUUCAUUCUCUUUAAAAUGUAGAAUAUGAUAAAAGGCCUGCAACAAAUUCAAACAAAUCUUUAUACAAGUGAGAAUUUAUGUCAUCCAAUCAUUUUAUUAAAAAUCACUCUAUAAAUUAUAAAAAUAAAGAUAUUAAUCACAUCUAUUAAUAUGUUUUUUUUUUAAAUUGACAAAUCAUGAUGAAAUUAUAAUCUUUUUAAUAUUUUAUUAAUUAUAAAUUAAAACAUCACUAUAAUUAUUCAAUCCCCACAGAAUAUAAAAUGAGUUAUUUUCAGUAAUAAUAAUAAUAAUAACUAAUCAUAUUUGAAUAACAUUUCAUCAAUUAUAUAUCAAAAUAAAGUUUUAUGUUUAUCAUAACCUAUGUUUUAAAACAAAAUAAUAAAAGUUAUAUUUCCAUUUAAAUGUAUUUAGAUAUCUACCUCCAUAGCCCAUGGUAUUAAAAUAAUCUAAUAAAACACAGUAUCCCAUAACCGGUCAACAGCACAGCUGCUCCUAGCCUUAGCCUCUUGCAGCUGCAAUCAGCUGUUCCACUCUCUGUUACAGGAGUUUAAGACCAAAAUAAUAUAUUUGUAAAAAAAAAUGAUAAGAAUAGUAUCCAUUUGAAAAUAUUUGCCAAAGUAGUCUUCUUUAUCCACGUAAGCAUCCACAUGGAUUUUAAGUGUAAAGAACCACCGUUGGUGACUGUGGUUUUAGAACUUACAAAAAUUUCCUUAAAACCACAGUUACAAACUGUGGUUUUACAAUUUCUCUUAGAACCACAGUUACUAACUGCGGUUUUAAAAGAAGUUUCCUUAAUACCACAGUUACAAACUGUGGUUUUACAAUUUCCUAACUUUACAAUUAUUUUUAAAAUAUUUUUUUUAUUAAAACAACCAUAAAACCACAGUUAGUAACUGUGGUUUUACUAAUGGUGUUGUAAUUCAAAUUAGUGAUGUUAUGUUAUUCACAUGUUUCCUUGAUAAUUUAAACAAAUAAAACUCAAAUGCAUCCUAAAGUCUAAAUGAAAGAAAUUAUAACUAAAUAAAUUAUUACAACCAUUACCUAUUUUUCUUUCAUAUAAUUAAAAAAUUAUACAUUUUAACCAAGACAUAAGUUCAAAUCAUACUUAAUAAUAAAUAACCUAAAAUCAUAAUCACUAACAUUAAUUUUCAUAUGAAAAGAUAAAAUUUUAAAAUAAUAUAAACAAUUUCUUUAGUUAUUUUAAAAUUUAAAAAUAAUAUGAAUAAAUAAUUUUCUUUAGUUCAUAUGUGAAAAUAUUUGUAAAACAAAUAAAUAUUUUAUUUACUAUAAAUAUAUAAAUUUUUAUGGGAAUGCAUGUAGACCAAAUUAUUUUCUCAAAUUUUCAAGGAAAAUAUGAAAAAAUAAAGAUAAAAUAUAUAUAUAUAUAUUUUUAAAUAGUCGUAACAAAAAAAUUUGUGAAAAGCAAAGUUCUAAAAUCCCAUACUUUUUUAUACAUGAGUCCCCUUAAAAAUAUUUGUGAAAAUUACAACAUAAUUGUAAUUUUGAUAAAAAAAUAUUUUAAAAAUAAUAUUAAAAUUACAACACCAUUAAAAUAGAUGUGGAUUAAAAAUAAUUGUAAAACCACAGUUACUAACUGUGGUUUUAUAGUUAUUUUGAUAAAAAUUAUUUUAAAAAUAAUAUUAAAAUUACAACACCAUUAGUAAAACCACAGUUACUAACUGUGGUUUUAUGGUUGUUUUGAUAAAAAAAAAUAUUUUAAAAAUAAUAUUAAAAUUAUAACACCAUUAAAAUGAGGACGGAUUAAAAAUAAUUGUAAAACCACAGUUACUAACUGUGGUUUUAAGGGAAAUUGUAAAACCACAGUUUGUAACUGUGGUUUUAAGGAAACUUCUUUUAAAACCGCAGUUAGUAACCGUGGUUCUAAGAGAAAUUGUAAAACCACAGUUUGUAACUGUGGUUUUAAGGAAAUUUUUGUAAGUACUAAAACCACAGUCACCAACGGUGGUUCUUUACACUAAAAAUCCAUGUGGAUGCUUACGUGGAUAAAAAAGAUUACUUUGACAAAUAUUUUCAAAUGGAUACUAUUCUUAUCAUUUUUUUUUACAAAUAUAUUAUUUUGGUCUUAAACUCCUGUUACAGUCCAGCUUUGGCCGCCCAAGACAUACAUCUUUUCACCCAUCAGCCAUUACCCCUGCCACAGCUCAUACUAAAGCUGCCAUAACCUAUACCCCAUAACCUAAUAUACGACUCUCACAACCGCCCUUUGUAAGAGUCACACAAAAGCCAAAUUUUUAUUAUUAUUAUUUUUAAUCAACUCCAGCACAGCCUCGUCAGACGCCGAGCCUCCUGAUCUCAUCUCCAAACACGUUCUGCAGCUGAAUCCUUUGCCUUUAUGAAGUUUGGAUGUUGGUGGUGGGAUGUGCUUUUCCUUUCUCAAUUAUUUCUGCUUAGCUGUAUCCCUCUAGCUUUGAACUUUCACUUUUGUCCCUUUUGGCAGUCAACAAUGGCCGACAGUCUUGCCUCUGCGAUUUACAGCUGAUCUUUUCUUUUAGGGAGAGUUGGGAUUACUGGCUGUUAUACGAGAAAUACAUGGUUUUCAAAACCAUAUAACUGAAAUAUGAUUUACCUGAGAAAAAUUGUGAGAGUUGAGUUGUCAUUUUCGCCAUUUUAGAAAAGACUUAAUUUUAAGACCGUUAGUAGGUAGAAAUAACAAGUUCACAAGAACGAAAGAGACCUUUGUUGACUGACCUAAGUAACCCCUUUCAUGGCUUUUUCACUUGUUUGUUUUUGGGUUUUCUUUAAUGAGGCUAGGUGAUUGUUGUUUAUUUUGACUUAUAUUUUAGAUGGAUUUCAUUUUUAAUAAGAGUUUUUCAUGGUAAAAAUUGAUGUGAUACAAAUUUUUAUUGAUAUUAAUAUCAUUUUAUCAUAAAUUAUUUAGAGUAUAGAUAUAAAUAAAAUAUCAAUACCAUAGGAAAUGUUAAAAUAAAGUUAGGUGCAUAUGCAAAAAAUAAAAUUUGAAAAAUAGAAUAGUCCAGUCCAACCAUAUCCACACAUCCAUCUUCCUAUAAAUGAAACUAAUGAUAGAUACAUAAGUCAAAAAUAAGAUUUGAAAAAGAGUAUAAUCCAAUUCAACUACCUAUCUUCCAAUAAAUUAAACUCAAAAUGGGCACAUAUUCCAAAAAUAAAUUUUGAAAAAUAAAAUAUUCCAAACCAACUUUAUCAACAUGUCCAUCUUCCAAUAAAUUAAAUUGGAAAUGAGUCGGCAUGUGAUAAAAUAAAUGUCAAUUUCCAUUUUACUUAUAUUAAAUUCACUUAUAUAUUUAUAUCGAAAAUUAUCCUUUGAAUAUUUCUAGAAACAUUAGUGUGGACUCCGCAUUUUGAUUGCUCAAUGCGUUUCCCACUCGAUGGCGAACUCGACUUUUAUUUGAAAAAUUGAUUUUUAUUGAUUAUUUGAAAAUGACUUGGAGUCGCCACUUAUUUUUGUUUUAUUUUUAAAGGGUAAACAAAAUAAGAAAGAAAAACCCUAAGUGUGACUCCUUAUUUUGGAAAAGGCGGUCUGUGAAAACCGGAUCGAGUUCGGGGGUCAGGUUACUUAUCGGGAAGGUACGGUAAAGACCGUAGCACCCCUCUAAGUCCCUAAAGUCGGGUCUCUACUAAUGAGAUGAAGCUGACAUGGCAAUCAAUGAGAAAAUCAAUGAAUACUCGAAUCAAUCAUGCACAUAUGAGAAACAAAGCAUGUAUAAAGAAUGAGCAAAAUAUGAAUAGAUGCGUACCUGGGCGGCAAUCACGAAUGCGCUAUCAUGAAACAUGGUUAGUGAACAAUGAACAUAUAUAAUUAAGCGCAUAUCAAGGAAUAGAGUAAAUCAAUCAUGCAUG